GUCCAACACCCUACCUCUCAAAAAUGUGGCGAUAUAAGAAAAUAAAGUUACGCCUUCACUACUAACUAUAGCUUUUGGCAUAAUGGUAAACGUUUGAUCCUAA